rnacentral:rRNA from 1 species
GCCUAAAGGGGCCGUAGCCGGUUUGGUCAGUCCUCCGGGAAAUCUGAUGGCUCAACCAUUAGGCUUUCGGGGGAUACUGCCAGGCUUGGAACCGGGAGAGGUAAGAGGUACUACAGGGGUAGGAGUGAAAUCUUGUAAUCCCUGUGAGACCACCUGUGGCGAAGGCGUCUUACCAGAACGGGUUCGACGGUGAGGGACGAAAGCUGGGGGCACGAACCGGAUUAGAUACCCGGGUAGUCCCAGCCGUAAACGAUGCUCGCUAGGUGUCGGGCAUGGCGCGACCGUGUCUGGUGCCGCAGGGAAGCCGUGAAGCGAGCCACCUGGGAAGUACGGCCGCAAGGCUGAAACUUAAAGGAAUUGGCGGGGGAGCACAACAACGGGUGGAGCCUGCGGUUUAAUUGGACUCAACGCCGGAAAACUCACCGGGGGCGACAGCAAUAUGUAGGUCAAGCUAAAGACUUUACCAGAAUCGCUGAGAGGAGGUGCAUGGCCGUCGUCAGUUCGUACUGUGAAGCAUCCUGUUAAGUCAGGCAACGAGCGAGACCCGUGCCCACUGUUGCCAGCAUGUCCUUCGGGAUGAUGGGUACUCUGUGGGGACCGCCGAUGCUAAAUCGGAGGAAGGUGCGGGCUACGGUAGGUCCGCAUGCCCCGAA